CGGUGACGUUAAGCAAAUCCCNGAAAUAACGUCCCAGUUCGGAUUGUAGUCUGCAACCCGACUACAUGAAGCUGGAAUCGCUAGUAAUCGCGAAUCAGAAUGUCGCGGUGAAUACGUUCCCGGGUCUUGUACACACCGCCCGUCACACCAUGGGAGUCGGAAAUGCCCGAAGUCAGUGACCCAACCGUAAGGAGGGAGCUGCCGAAGGUGGAGCCGGUAACUGGGGUGAAGUCGUAACAAGGUACC
rnacentral:rRNA from 1 species